UACAGAGGUCCCAAGCGUUGUUCGGAUUCACUGGGCGUAAAGGGUGCGCAGGUGGGCUGGUAAGUUCGAUGUGAAAGCCCCGGGCUUAACCCGGGAAUGGCGUUGGAUACUACUGGUCUGGAGGAUCGGAGGGGGGACUGGAAUUCUUGGUGUAGCAGUGAAAUGCGUAGAUAUCAAGAGGAACACCAGUGGCGAAGGCGAGUCCCUGGACGAUACCUGACACUGAGGCACGAAAGCCAAGGGAGCAAACAGG
rnacentral:rRNA from 1 species